AUACUGUGGGAUUUUUGUGAGACUACCAUCAUGCCUUAUAAUUUUCUUCUCCCCCUCUAUCUCAUCAGGCCUGUGUAGCUGCCUCGGCAGAACUGGCAGCCACUGGCGCCUCUGUCACCUGACGCGACCCGAGUCCCAGGGCAGGGUGGGCGGCAUGAUCUGCCCCUACCAGAACUCCCAGACCAUGAUGCACUGCAACAGCCUGGAUCACAUGGCCAACAUCCCCAUGUACCAGGACUGUGGCCACUACUCUAGCAGCUGCCACCUGCUGCCACCGUGCUCCCAGUCGUCCCACGGCAGCCUGCACACGCACCACGUGGCCGAGCCCCGUUGCUCUGCUCACAACCUGGGCACCUCCUUCGUCCAGCCCCAGAACUGCUCCUCCGACCCUCUCUUCCACUACCCCCAGCAGUACCACCUGGUGGCCACCCCCUCCCAGGAGAGGCAGCAGGCCCUGUGCCCUCUCCAGUGCCCACUGCUGCAGCAGCGCCACAGCUCCCUGCUCUUCUGUGGGCACCAGGGGGAGCUGAGCAGGCUGGGCUCCUCCAGCUGUGUCCCUGCCACCAACCAGAGACAGAACCAGGGAGGGGUGGAGCAGAAGAACAACAACCCCAGCUGCGUAUCGCUUCAUAACAAAAGAUUAGACACGAGCGCAAACAACAAUCAAGGCUGCGUCAUGAACUGCAAUCCCCAGGGCAACUAAUCCCGUCUUCACAUGAGAAGGACCUUAUUUUUGCAGUUGCCAAUGUCUCUUUUGCAUUCUUUUAAACUGAUAAUGAGGAAUAAAUAUACUUACAUUGCAUGAAUUUCGAUAGUGCACAAACCCUCAAUCAAUCACUACAAAAACAUACAACUUAAGGUAAUUGCAGCUAUGUAAAGGCAGUAGAUGGAGGGUAAACUUCCACAUUGAUACAAAAGUUUGACAAAGAUUCGGUAUUGGGCUGUUUAAAGCUAGAAUCCUUAGUCGCUACAUCAAUUUUUGAACUAUAACUUAUAAAUCCCUCUUGAGCUUAGUUCAACUGUCGUACCCCAUCAGAAACCAAAAUAUAAGCUUGUUUUACUCCAAUGUUUGUAAACAAUGUAAACAAACACUUUAUACCCUCCAAACAUGGUUCAAACUAUAAUUUUGAUAUCACUGAUGGUCAGUCCUUACGUCAAUGGCUCUGUCUAUGAAUUUGAGAGAGGCAUGGAGAAAUGUAACCAAUCUCUCAACUUUUUUACCAAAACAGUGGCGAGGUGUCACUUUGUUCUAUUUUUAAACUAAGGAUUCUAGCUUUAGGACCACUGUUUCUAUGGAAUGAAUAGAACCAUUGCAACACUCACAAAAUGAGUCAUAAUGUCACAUUCAUGUUGCAUAGUAACAGAUUCCAUGGGUGGAAGUGUGAGUUAAAAAAAAAAGAAAUACAAAAUCACCAUCAACCUUUAAAAUCUGGCUUAGACAGUCUGGACUGACUUGGACUGAGCCUAAGGCCAUGUCAUCCUUUUAACAUCUGCUCAGUUACUCGUCAGAACUCAAAAUGACCUGUUCGCCAGGUCGUUAUGACAUAGUUGCAUGGGGUAAGGAAUGCAUUAAAUAGAAAAGCUCAAUUAGCUUGCAGGUAAUGUUAGCUAUUAUACAUGUUGUUUGUUUUCCUGCUAUUGAAGCUCAUCACAACAUUAUUUGACUAUCUAAUGAGAAGAAGUUAGAGCAACUACACCAUCAUAUUUAAAAAGUAUAACAAUAGAGUAGACAGAAAGUGAUACGUUGUUACUUUUGGCUAUGUUGUGGUGGAUGAGCUAAACAAUGGAACAUGGCCCGUGUCUGUCGAUUGCCACCAACAACAACAGGCAAAACUCUCUAUGGAAGUGCCCACUACCAGUUACCAACACCAACAACAAGCAAAACUCUCUAUGGAAGUGCCCACUACCAGUUACCAACACCAACAACAAGCAACACUGUCAUCACCAGUGCCUACUGCCAGUCCAAUGAAAAGGGAUUUCAACUCUACAGUCUGACCUUCAACCCCCACUGAGCCAAAGUACAGUCCACUCAAUCCAACUGGGACAACAGCUGGUUCAGAACCAAAGGAGAGAGUCAUAUCUCCCCAAACAUGACAGCAGAGAAAAUAAAUAAAGAGGUCAAAUCGAACUCAACCUAAAAAAUGGAAUCAUCAAGGAAAUGUGUGGGGUAAAGAUCCCGAAUCUCCUAAUUUACCCCCGGCAAAAUUAGCUAUUGUUUAUUUCACACUAUGUUGAAGUAAAAAUCAGUGUUUAACACUUUUAAGGACGUCAACCCCAACUCAUCUUCAUGUCAUCUUAACCAAUCAACUGCAUUACUGUUAAAUACUUUUACUAUGAAGCGAAAACCGCCAAAUAUUUCCAAAUCGGACUUAAGUAACCACAUUGUGGGCCUGUUGCAAUACAUAAAUCAUAAGUCACUGUCACUAGCCGACUACCACCCAGUUACUCCACCAUGCACCUUAGAGGCUGCUGCCCUAUAUACAUAGUCAUGGAAAACUGGUCACUUUAAUCAUGUUUACAUACUGUUUAUUUGCAUUCAUUUUUUAUUGAAUAUUUAAAAUAUACAAUAUACUUGCAGUGAAGCCGCUCAACAACUACAUCACAUUUAGUCAUCUAACAGCCUCCCAUCCGGAGUGACACACAGACACAACCAGGGUUUACAUACUGUUUAACCCCCUUCAUAUGUACAGUGUAUACUGUAUUCUAGUCAAAACCUAUCCAAUUGAACUAUUGCUGUACAUACAGCACAUUCGGAAAGUAUUCAGACCUCUUGACUUUUUCCACAUUUUGUUACGUUACAGCCUUAUUCUAAAAUGGAUGAAAUGUUUUUCUCCCCUCGUCAAUCUACAAAUAAUACCCCAUAAUGACAGACCAAAAACAGGUUUAGACAAAACUGAAAUAUCUCAUUUAAAUAAGUAUUCAGACCCUUCACAUCGUACUUUGUUGAAGCCUCUUUGGCAGCGAUUACAGGCUUGAGUCUUCUUUGAUAGGACGCUACACGCUUGGCACACCUGUAUUUGUGGAGUUUCUCCCAUUCUCCUCUACAGAUCCUCUCAUGAUCUGUCAGGCUUGAUGGGGAGAUAUUUUCAGGUCUCUCCAGAGAUGUUCGAUUGGGUUCAAGUCCGGGCUCUGUUUGGACCACUCAAGGACAUUAAGAGACUUGUCCUAAAGCCACUCCUGCGUUGUCUUGGCUGUGUGCUUAGGGUCCUUGUCCUGUUGGAAGGUGAACCUUCACCCCAGUAUGAGGUCCUGAGCGCUCUGGAGCAGGUUUUCAUUAAGGGUCUCUGUACUUUGCUCCGUUCAUCUUUCCCUCGAUCCUGACUAGUCUCCCAGUCCCUGCCGCUGAAAAAUAUCCCCACAGCAUGAUGCUGCCACCACCGUGCGUCACCGUAGUGAUGGUGCCAGGUUUCCUCCAGAUGUGACAUUUGGCAUUCAGGCCAAAGAGUUCAAUCUUGGUUUUAUCAGACCAGAGAAUCUUGUUUCUCAAGAUCUGGGAGUCCGUGAGGUACUUUUUGGCAAACUCCAAGCGGGCUGUCAUGUGCCUUUUACUGAGCAGUGGCUUCCAUCUUGGCCACCUCUACCAUAAAGGCCUGAUUGUUGAUGUGCUGCAGAGAUGGUGGUCAACCUCAACUAUGCAUUCAAAAGAUUUCAAGUCUCGUGAGAUGUUGUACUUCAAUUAACUCAGAAAUGGAUUGAUGUGUUCAUAUUUCUAGUUUGUAUAUAUAUGGGAAUGAAACAAGGCUUAAGCCUUACAAUGGAUUGUAUUGUUAUAAACAUAUGCAUAGCAUACUUAUAAGCCUAGUUUUGAAAAGGCUGUUGUCCAUAUUUUUAUUUUCCAGUUGGUGUUAUUGUGACCCCAGUGUCUGAGGGCAGGUUUGUGGUUGUACA
rnacentral:lncRNA from 1 species